UACGUAGGGGCCAAGCGUUGUUCGGAUUUACUGGGCGUAAAGGGCGCGUAGGCGGCUUGUCAAGUCACUUGUGAAAUCUCUGGGCUUAACCCAGAACGGCCAAGUGAAACUGACAUGCUAGAGUGCAGAAGGGGCAAUCGGAAUUCUUGGUGUAGCGGUGAAAUGCGUAGAUAUCAAGAGGAACACCUGAGGUGAAGACGGGUUGCUGGGCUGACACUGACGCUGAUGCGCGAAAGCCAGGGGAGCAAACGGG
rnacentral:rRNA from 1 species